rnacentral:lncRNA from 1 species
CGGCCAUUGCUCCAAGCCUCCUCCUACCUGGUUGAGACUCUUGAUGAUGGAAAGAACAAGGGAAAACCACUGAAAAGAUUGAAAAAAUCAAAGAAAACAAAGGAAAGAUAGAAAAAAUUAAAAGGAAAAUCCUUUUCCCACAUUGAUAGAUUCUUUUUUUUCUUUACAUUUCAUUCUCUUUUUUGUGGAUAUGUGGGGA